rnacentral:miRNA from 1 species
ACAAAAAAAAAAGUACAGAA